UACGUAGGUGGCAAGCGUUGUCCGGAAUUAUUGGGCGUAAAGCGCGUGUAGGCGGCUUGUUAAGUCGGUCGUGAAAGCCCACGGCUCAACCGUGGAAGUGCAACCGAAACUGGCAAGCUUGAGUUCUGAAGAGGAUGGCGGAAUUCCCAGUGUAGAGGUGAAAUUCGUAGAUAUUGGGAGGAACAUCGGUGGCGAAGGCGGCCAUCUGGGAAGCGACUGACGCUGAGACGCGAAAGCGUGGGUAGCAAACAGG
rnacentral:rRNA from 1 species